rnacentral:lncRNA from 1 species
AUCAAAGGUGUGCAUCACCAUGCCCAGCUUUUGUCUUUCUCUAAUCCCACAAAUUAAUUAGGUGCUGUUAAGGAAAAGCAUUUUUAUGCAUGCGUGCUAGUGUGUGUGUGUGUGUGUGUGUGUGUGUGUGUGUGUGUGUGUGUGUGUGUGUGAAUGUGCACUUGCUUGGGCCUGAGCCAUCAUACCAACUCAGGCAAGCAUAUUCUUUCAGGGAGGGUAUCUUUCCUUCUAGCAGGUAUUUGUCCUAUAGAUCCAUCCAUUCAUUAAGAACUUUCAGCCGGGCGUGGUGGCGCACGCCUUUAAUCCCAGCACUCAGGAGGCAGAGGCAGGUGGAUUUCUGAGUUCGAGGCCAGCCUGGUCUACAAAGUGAGUUCCAGGACAGCCAGGGCUACACAGAGAAACCCUGUCUCAAACAAACAAACAAACAAACAAAAAAAGAACUUUCCAUAUUCGGUUUGGAGGAGCAGAACUCAACAUACACAGAAGGCCCUGCCAAUCACCCAGAGUCUCCAAGGAGCACCCCCUUUUUGAUGCCCACCCCCACCCAUGGUGAACCAGCUUCCUUCGUUCCCUUGACACCCUGCUUUGUGCACCAAUGGAUGCCUGGUUGCCAAACGCCUUCUCUUUUGAGCCAAAGUCCUAGUUUUGUCAGGCCUACUUAAAACUGCUUGUUGGGAUAGGGAGGCAAUAAAGUUGGUAAAGAGGUUAGGAGGACCCAAGUUUAAUUCCCAAGACCCAUGUAACAAAAGCCUGCUGUGGUAGUAAAGAAAAAGUCAUGUGUAGUGUUUGUACUCUCAGUUCUGAGGAGAGGAGACAGGCCAAUGAAAAACCCUCUCAGGAAAAAGAUAGAUGUAUCUGAGGUCCCUAAGGUUGCCCUCUGUGCUGCGCAUGAAGACUCAUGUGUGCACACACAUACUCAUGUGCACCUGCACACAUGAACGCACACUGCAUAUCUUCUGUGUUCUCUCCAUACUCCAUGAAGAGUAGUCCCUCCAUAUUCCUUUCUAUUUGUUAGGUUUUUUGCUUGCUUGUUUGUGAGACAGGGUCUCACUAUGUUGUGAGCCCUGGUUGGCCUGGAACUUGGAGAGAUCUUCUUGCCUUUGUCUCCCAAGUGCUAGGAUUAAAGUCCUGUACCGCCAUGAGUAGCAGUUUGCUUGCUUUUUGAGACAGGGUCAGGGAAUCAGUGAAGUCCAGGGGAGCCCCCAGUGUAGGAUGGUACUUCUGCAUCUGUCUGUUAUCCUGAUAGUGCUGGGAUGAUAGGCAUUCUGCAUCCAGCUGGCCUUUCCCUGCUACUAAGCCACUGUUGUCUGUUAGCUGUGUGUGUGGCAGGGGCAGGGGAUGGAGGGCUCAGACUUAAAUACUGAACUCCAAGCUUUUUGAAAGCUUGGCACCAUGUUACUUAUUUCUGGAGUCUCGGUGCCUGACUGUUGGGAAGAGUCAUUGAUUAAUAGACUCAUAUUGACUGAAUAGAGCUUAUGGUAAAAUCAAUAUUACUCUUAAUAGUGACAAUAAUAAUAAUAAUAUCAUCACCUGUCCUAAGAUUGUGGACUAAUCAAGCUUACCUCUUAGGUGCUCAGUGUCCUUGGUUACACUGAAAGCUGCUGGUUUUUUUUUUUUUUUUUUUUUUUCUUUCUUCCCUCUUUGGCCCCACUUGCUCCGGCUCAAAGAUUUAUUUAUUAUAUGUAAGUAAACUGCAACUAUCUUCAGAAACCCCAGAAGAGGGCAUCAGAUCUCAUUACAGAUGGUUGUGAGCCACCAUGUGGUUGCUGGGAUUUGAACUCAGGACCUUCGGAAGAGCAGACAGUGCUCUUAACCACUGAGCCAUCUCUCCCACCCGAAAGGUGCUUCUUAGGUAAGUCUCCCUCCCACUGUCAGUGGUACCAACAUUUCAGUGCUGUUUAUGAAUGUUGCUGUAACACCAGAUAUCAACUCUUGGCUCGAAAAUGAUGUGAAGAGAUGGGAGGGCUGUGGAGAGAAACAACAAGAUCUAGAUAGAGGUAGCUGGCCAUGAACUGGGAGAGAGG